rnacentral:rRNA from 1 species
ACCCCAUGGAGCUUUAAACCCAACAGCACCUAUUCUUUUUAAGCCCACCCAUUCAUAUAGUAAAUGCUUGUUUGGUUUUAGGUUGGGGUGACCGCGGAGUAAAAAUUAACCUCCACGAAAAAAGGCAUAAAAGCCUUAUCAAAGAAUUACACUUCUAUGAAUUAGUAAACUAAUUUUUGAUGAUCCGAUAUUCGAUCAACGAACCAAGUUACCCUGGGGAUAACAGCGCAAUCCACCUCAAGAGCUCCUAUCGACAAGUGGGUUUACGACCUCGAUGUUGGAUCAGGGUACCCCAGUGGUGCAGCAGCUACUAAAGGUUCGUUUGUUCAACGAUUAAAACCCU